CAUUACUGAAAAAAAAAUAUUGGUUUAGGUUGUUGCUGGUUCUUUUAGAACAUAUUGUGCACACCUAAUACCAAAUUUUUCAUCCACCUGUGCACCUUUUCAAUGGAACCUGGAUUUGGAGAUUGCUGCUUUGCAAGUCUCUCUUCUUUUAUUUUCAGGUUCUAUUACACAUACACUAUUAUUUACAAAAAUUGAACAAAAUUGUGUUUAAAAUGUACAACUUUCAACAACGGAUCUCUUGGCUCUCGCAUCGAUGAAGAACGCAGCGAAAUGCGAUAAGUAAUGUGAAUUGCAGAAUUCAGUGAAUCAUCGAAUCUUUGAACGCACCUUGCGCUCCUUGGUAGUCUGAGGAGCAUGCCUGUUUGAGUGUCAUGAAAUUAUCAAAUCACUUACUGACUUUUGUGUCAGUUUUGGGAUUUGGAUAUAUGGAAGGAUUUGCUGGGUUUAUAAAAACAAUCAGCUCUUCUGAAAUGUAUUAGCAAAAAGCCUUUUUCAAUGCUAGACUUUUUUAUUUAUCUUGGUGUGAUAACAUCUUUUUGCACCAUUUAUAAAACUGUGGCACUAAAGGUUCUUUUAGCUUCUAAUAGUCCACUUUGGACAACUUUCUUGAUAUUUUGACCUCAAAUCAGGUAGGACUACCCGCUGAACUUAAGCAUAUCAAUA
rnacentral:rRNA from 1 species